rnacentral:lncRNA from 1 species
UUCCUGCAGUAAAAUGCAAGACGUGUGAAGGAGAAACUCCUCUUCUCCUUCCUUCUGAUGAGAGUGCUGCCCUGUGAGAACGUGAUAUGGGGUAGAUGGCAGACAUCUUGGAAGAAGGAAAGAAAGGCCAACGGAAGCACAGGGAUUGCAAACCACUGCCCUGAUACCAAAAAGCCUCUGAAUCAACCCUGGAACUGGGAGGUCUACAUAGCUCAAGCUUCACUUGGAGUUCAAUUGUGUGAUUCAGAAGCACAGCUAGGAUAAGUCAGAGACUGGAAAGGGGAAGAGGAGAGACGUGCAGGAUAUUUUUUUUUAACCAGUGAAACAACUCCCGACUUCCAGGACCAGACAAUAUACUUAAUGCACAAAACCAAUAUAUUUUAUGGCCUAAAUGAAAAAAAGUAAAGUGGAAGGUCGGGCGCUGUUCCUUUAAGAUGCUUCCAGAAUCAAAUACCACUCUUGAAAGGGCUGCCAAACAAUGUAUCCAGGUAAAGAAUGAAAAAAAUAUAUUCAGAGGAAAGGCAGGAGGAUGUGUGGAAAGCUCAGUGAGAUUAUGGAAGUGCAGUAAUUGAAUAUGACACAAGAGUCAAGUGCAAGAGGGAACUGGCUGGAGUGCAGUGGCGCAAUCUCAGCUCACUGAAACCUCCACCUCCCAGGUUCAAGUGAUUCUCCUGCCUCAGCCUCCCGAGUACCUGGGAUUCCAG